AUGCAGAACUUGUUUCUGCACUUUUUGUGGAGACGCCAGAGACGGACUUCUCUCCUGCUGCUGCUGAAGGCUUUCCACUUUUUCCUGGCUCCACAUUUGACUGUAGCCCAAAACAGUAUGACAGAUUUUCUGGAGCUGAAUCAGACGUUGCUCCUCUAUCUCUUAUGGUUUGCUCCUUACAUGGCUCAGGCUGAUCUUCACAGGGAUUUGGGCUUUCUUUGGUGCUCUUGUCUGUCAAUACUUUGGGGUCUACAAACCCAGCCUCUCUCCAUGUGUCUUUAUUUACAGACAGUUCCUGUUCUGGUUCCACCUUCGUGAAAUCAGGUCCUUCACCUGGAAACAAGUCUUUUUGCGUAACUUCUUCAGUGGUUUGAGAUGUAGAUCUUGCAGCUCUUGAUGUUUGAAGGUUUGGUUUGAUUUUUGACAGUCGAUCUCUCUUUGUCUGACCUGUUGGCAACGAUUUUUCCUCUUUUUGCAUGACUGCCAACUCUUCUACAGACUUAUUUAAAGAAGCUGAAUUUGCACUUUCAAUAAAAUCCAAAUGUAGUCCUUGUUCUGGUUCUGUGACCUCACAGGCCUUUAAAACUGGAUCUUCAACAUGGGAUGCUGCACUUUCUUUGGUUAAAUCAGGAAUUGAUAGUGCAUCUCCAGUUGCCUGCUCCAAACUGGACUCGAUGGAGAGAUUCUUGGCUUUUGUAGGACUUUGACCUGAUGGUGCUCCACCCAAUUCUUCUUGAUCUUCAACUCCAUCUUUUGUCUUCAUCUCCUUAUUUGCAGACAGUUUUUGGGUGAGUUUUGUUUGUGUUUCCGCCUCUACGGAUGGGUUUUUGUGAAGCUCCAGAUUUUUUUGGAUGGCAUCUUCUGUGUUCUGAGCUUUGGAUCUUGCACCUCUCAACAACUGUGGUAUGUUUGGUUUGGGUUUAACCUUUUGUAGUCGACCCUUUCUUGACUGAGAAGAUCCCGUUUUUUUCUCAUCUUGAUUGGAGGUUGCUUCAGCAACUGCAGCAGAAUCUUCUUUUCUUUCUGAACCCAAAUGUGACCCAUGUGGAGCUGGUAGUUCUGGGUCUGUUUGUUCAGUUGACACAGUUUCAGAAGUGGCUUCAGAGUCUUUGCUGGUCUGCUCCACACAGAGCUCAGGCACGACUUUGGCAGAGAUCAGAGUUUCUGUAGCGCUCUGAACAGGUGCUGCUUGAUUUAGACAUUUAGGACUUGUUGUCUCCUCACUUGUAGUCCGUUCAUCUGGAAGUUCUGCUGGCAUUUUAGUUGAAGUAUUCUGACUUUCAAUUGACUCUUUCUCUGCCACCCCUUCAGUGGUUUGCCGUUUGGAUCUAGCUAUUCUUGACGUCUGCAGUAAGAUUGGUUUGGGUUUGACUUUUGGCAGUCUGCCUCUGGGCUGAGAAGGACUUUUUACAUCACCUUCUCCUGUGUGACUCACAGAAGAGUUGUCUGCAACCGAGGGUUGAGGUUUGCUGGUUCUGUCUGGAACUGGGCUGUGAUCGUUGCUUGACGCUUUUUUAACCUCUGGCACUGCUUCAACUGGUUUAUUUAAGCCAGCCUUGGACUUUACAGGAGGCCCCAACUGGGACUGAAUUACAGUCUGACUCUGGCUUUUCAGGAGAUUCUGAUCUGCUGCACCUGUUUCAACCUGAUCCAAGCAGGCGCGCUGAGAGGAAGUGUUAUCUUUAAACAAUGCUGCAGCAGAAGCUGAUAUUCCAGGGGAUGUUUCUUCAGCAGAUAGUGAAGUCUCAUCAUCUUGAGAAACACAUUGAGCAACUGAGCAGCUUAUUCCAGCUCCCCCUUCUGUCGACAUCUCAGUGUGAGAUACCGGUUUUGCAGUCCUUGAGCUGUGACCGAGGUUUGGUUUAGGCUUCACCUUAGAACACGGACCAGCCUUUAUAAGUGAAGACUUCUCUAUAGAUUUAAAACCCAAUUGAUCAACGUUCUGAUCACUUGUCUCAACGGGAAGCGAGUUAUUGCUUUCCACUUCAGCACUCUGGUGCUUUUCGGUGGGAGGCGAUGUCACUUUCUGAUCUGCAGAUUUCCCAGAAGGGACCCUUUUCUGGGGUGAAACUGUCAAAAUCUCCUCUUGUGCAUAUGUGAACUCACUGACACCAACUGAUGUUCCUGCAAUCAAAUACAAUGGAAUGUAACUUUCCAAGCCAGGAGACAGCCUACACCAACAGAGGAACCGGGGCUGCUUUUUUUGUUUUGUUUCUUUGGUUGCAUACCUGCAGUGCAUUCUUCUAAGGUAUCUCCACUCUGUGCAGACGGAGAAAUUUGAGCUCGGUUACCAAUGGUCAAAAGGGUUUGAGCUGCUUCAGUGUAGCUCUCAUCCUGAGACACUGAAAGAAACAUGAAAAGUCCAAUUUAAUUUACGGCAUCAGGUACCAGACGCACCUAAGACAAAAACAAACAAAACGGACAAGUCGCAUACCUUCAGUUUGUUCCGAGGAAAUGAAGUCUAUAACAUCCUGCAGGGCAAAAAACAAAUCUAUGACUAUAUUUCCAAGCAUGAAACGGGGCUAACAAGUGCAGCUGCUGGAAUUACACAAUUUUUGUUUUUUAUUUUUUUAUUGAUGACAAACAAAACACCUCAUCAGACAUCAGGCAGCUUAGUUUGUCACAAACAGGAGGAGAAGGCCCUUCUGUACCUUUCAAAAAGCUGAAGUACGGUAAUGAGGUGAGAUUUUCUUAACGACCAAAUACUUUUAUACGCCAUUAUACAAAUAAAAUAUUUUUUUUUUAAAUAUCAACAUGAUUUCCAUGAUUCAUUUUUUUACAUUCCAUUUCUCAGAGUUGAAGUUUAUCUAUGAGGAACAUCUUAUCUAUAACCAACAAAAUCUGACUUGUUAUCAAAAAGUCAGAUCAGAACAAAAAUAUCUUUUUGUUGCACGUGAACAAUGGACGAAAACAUCUGCUGCUUGGUAAGUGGAAAUUCAGGACUGUAAUGGGAUUUAAUGCCUUUCUUCCUGCUGCUUGAAAAUCAACGGUGUCUUCAAAAGGUUAAAUAAAAUGUUUACAUCUGUCAUAUCCCCCCAGCUGAAUUGCGAAAAGUUAUUUGAGAAAUUUAGCACAUCAGGCAUGUUUGGGGCCACUGGCUGCUUGAGAUUUGAGAUUACUUAGUAUCCUGUUGUUGCCAAGCUGGAGGCGUUUUUAACUGUUUUGUGAUUUAUCUCUUUGAAAUUUAGUUUUGAAAAUGACCCCAUAAAUGAAAGUAAUUGACCUGUAUGGCUGCAUCUAAAUUCCCACCCUACUCCAUAACUACUACAAAAACUAUAUAGUGCGCUGGAAAAGCAAUUCUGACACCAUGCUAACUUUUAUUUUUUAAAUCGGUGAAAAUGUAACCUCAUCGAUAUCACGAAGUGAAAAUCUUAUUGAUGUGA
rnacentral:lncRNA from 1 species